CUGGACAGAGACCCUCAGACACACAGGUGCUUGGGUAGGAAGCCAUCAGUGCCCCCAAAAAUUGUCCAGCAAAGACACAGAUGAGGUUGGGGCUAGGCUGAGUGCCUUUGGGCAUGUGUUGACAUACAGCUUUUUUGGGUUUUAUUUCAGGUGAAAUGAACUCUUAGGAAACCACUGAUGGAUUCAUCAAGAAGCCCUAAACCUUGGAAAAGCCAAGAGACCAGAGGUCUCACCUUAAAGGUAUCUGGUCCUUCGACCUCACCGUGACCCAGUUUCUUCAGGAGAACAUUCCAGAAGCAGAGCAAGGGGCUGCGAACGGUGUGCAAUGCUUCCUGAACCACCUCAUGGCCCUCCAUCCACUUCGUCUGGGUCAUGCUGGCUCUGCGGCCAUGGCAUUUCAGCGUCUCGUCUUCAUCUUCAUCCUAUUUGUAACCAUGGGGCACAUGCUGUAUUUUUUUUUUUUUAAUGCAAGAAAGUGUAAGAUUAGAAACGCCCAUGUUCAGAAGACAGCAAAGAAGGGAGCUUUAACCUGACAGAGAUGGAACAGAGGAGAUCAGAAAGAAUAGACAAUAAUGGCCACUCAUCCUGCUUCCAGUAUGAAGAUUCCCCUACAUCUAGCAUGGACAGAAGUGUUGACAGAGGGAGGAGUUUUGGCAGAACAACAGAAGUCAAGUACGGCAAUGGCAAAGAAAAAGCCAACUACUAAGCCUGUCUGUCUACCACAUUACUUUAUUGGCUUCCAAAUAAACCCAAUCCUAGGGGACAAAAGAUGUGAAUCCAUAUCAGAAGAGAGAGGCAGUUCUGGAUUCCUGAGGUAUUCAUUGAAGACUGAGUAAGUGUGGAGUUUCCAUCGUGGCUCAGUGGUAAUGAAUCCAACUAGUAUCCAUGAGGACCCAAAUUCGAUCUCUGCCCUCACUCAGUGGAUUAAGGAUCCAGUGUUGCUAUGAGCAGUGGUGUAAGGUUGCAGAUGCAGCUCGGAUCUUGCAUAGGCCAGCAGCUGCAGCUCUUUAUUGGACUCCUGCAUGUGCUACAGGUGCAGCUCUAAAAAGCAAAACCAAAACCAAAAAAAGAGAGACUGAGUAGGUGGUCCCUGUGUCAACUGGAAAGUCAACCUCCUUACCCCCCACAGUCAAGGUCAGCCAAGGCCCCUUUAAUCUUCUUCUUUCAUGUGUGCAACCAUCAAGAAUGGGCCAGGACCCAGUGGUUCCCUUAGAUUCCUUUGAGACAUUGGGGGUAUUCCCCUUCCAGUGGCCCUCCUUAGGGCAGCUGCAUGCUGAUUGGCUUUGAGCCCUUCUGUUCACGUUAGGUGGUGGGGGUUGAAUGACCCUGAAUCACUGAGACCAGAAUACUGGCAGAUCAGGCCGCUUGUCCAUCUUCCUUGGCAUCCACCUCCAGAUCCCAGUUGUUGAAUACUGGAAACACUAACUCCACCCCUGGGAAGUAGGUGUGGUGGGUUUUAUCUCCAACUUCUAUAAUUUUCUCCCAAUGUCUGGGGUGCUCUGGGAAGUGAAAUGGGACUUAAGAAUGGUCUGCCCUUCCACUGGCUCCAGGUGGCUCUUGUUCGUGUACACACAAAGGCACUCCCUUAGGCAUUCUAGGAAAGCCAAGGGGUUUCCUGCAGACCCUUGAUGACUCCCUAAACCCUACUCCAAUUUAUGGGUUUCUUCCCAGCCCACUGCAUGCCAUUAAGGAUCACAUCCCUGAAAUGUGUGAGAUGCUGCUGACCAUGUUCCUCUCAACGGUCCCAACCCAGGGUCCAGGUCAGGAACAGCCCAGAUUCAAGGCUGGCAUAGAGCAUGUCCUGCAUUAUUUUGAUUGGCCUUAUCAGCUUCCUCC
rnacentral:lncRNA from 1 species